rnacentral:rRNA from 1 species
UACGUAGGGGGCAAGCGUUGUCCGGAAUCACUGGGCGUAAAGGGCGCGUAGGCGGUCUGCUAAGCGUGUGGUGAAAGCUCGGGGCUCAACCCCGCGUCGGCCAUGCGAACUGGUGGACUGGAGCAUGUCAGAGGCAGGCGGAAUUCCGGGUGUAGCGGUGGAAUGCGUAGAGAGUCCGGAAGAACACCGGUGGCGAAGGCGGUCG